UUUCGGCGACGACGACCGCAACGCAUUCACCGACGAAGCGGACGCGAUCCACCGCAACAACCGGACGAUCUGGGACCUUGGUCCCCGGAAUGACCCAGUUGGGUUCUAUCGGGCCCAUUUUUCCGACGAGGUCAGCACCGGACAAAACAAGAUGAACACCUGGCGCGCUCUGAGCCGUAGAAAGAUCAACAUGCUUGAUGACGGCAUGGGCAUGCGGCGAGCGGAGAAUCGCCAUGUGGAGCAUGCCUGGCGACUUCAUAG
rnacentral:misc_RNA from 1 species